UAGUUUUAAGAUUUUAAAAUAAUUCAUUUACAUUGAAUAGAUUAAUUUAAUUUAAUAAUUAA
rnacentral:tRNA from 1 species